rnacentral:rRNA from 1 species
UACGGAGGGAGCUAGCGUUGUUCGGAAUUACUGGGCGUAAAGCGCACGUAGGCGGUUUUUUAAGUCAGGGGUGAAAUCCCAGAGCUCAACUCUGGAACUGCCUUUGAUACUGGGUAUCUUGAGUAUGGAAGAGGUGAGUGGAAUUCCGAGUGUAGAGGUGAAAUUCGUAGAUAUUCGGAGGAACACCAGUGGCGAAGGCGGCUCACUGGUCCAUUACUGACGCUGAGGUGCGAAAGCGUGGGGAGCAAACAGG